UACAGAGGUCUCAAGCGUUGUUCGGAUUCAUUGGGCGUAAAGGGUGCGUAGGCGGCGCGGUAAGUCGGGUGUGAAAUCUCGGGGCUUAACUCCGAAACUGCAUUCGAUACUGCCGUGCUUGAGGACUGGAGAGGAGACUGGAAUUUACGGUGUAGCGGUGAAAUGCGUAGAUAUCAGGAGGAACACCGGUGGCGAAGGCGGGUCUCUGGGCCGAUACUGACGCUGAGGAGCGAAAGCGUGGGGAGCGAACAGG
rnacentral:rRNA from 1 species